rnacentral:rRNA from 1 species
CGCUGGCGGCGUGCCUAACACAUGCAAGUCGAACGAAGCAUUUAAGUGAAUCCCUUCGGGGGUGAAGCUUUUAUGACUUAGUGGCGGACGGGUGAGUAACGCGUGAGUAACCUGCCUUUNAGAGGGGGAUAACAGUUGGAAACGACUGCUAAUACCGCAUAACGUAUUGAGAUCGCAUGGUCUUGAUACCAAAGCUGAGGCGCGUGAAAGAUGGACUCGCGUCUGAUUAGAUAGUUGGUGAGGUAACGGCUCACCAAGUCGACGAUCAGUAGCCGGACUGAGAGGUUGAUCGGCCACAUUGGGACUGAGACACGGCCCAGACUCCUACGGGAGGCAGCAGUGGGGAAUAUUGCACAAUGGGCGAAAGCCUGAUGCAGCAACGCCGCGUGAGGGAAGACGGUUUUCGGAUUGUAAACCUCUGUCUUUGGUGAAGAUAAUGACGGUAGCCAAGGAGGAAGCCACGGCUAACUACGUG